UACGAAGGGGGCUAGCGUUGUUCGGAUUUACUGGGCGUAAAGCGCGUGUAGGCGGGCCGUUAAGUUGGGGGUGAAAUCCCGGAGCUCAACUCCGGAACUGCCUCCAAAACUGGCGGCCUGGAGCAGAGGAGAGGCGAGCGGAAUUCCGAGUGUAGAGGUGAAAUUCGUAGAUAUUCGGAGGAACACCAGUGGCGAAGGCGGCUCGCUGGACUCUUGCUGACGCUGAGACGAGAAAGCGUGGGGAGCAAACAGG
rnacentral:rRNA from 1 species